rnacentral:rRNA from 1 species
CGAACGCUGGCGGCAGGCUUAACACAUGCAAGUCGAACGCCCCGCAAGGGGAGUGGCAGACGGGUGAGUAACGCGUGGGAACAUACCCAACUCUACGGAAUAACUCAGGGAAACUUGUGCUAAUACCGUAUACGCCCUUUGGGGGAAAGAUUUAUCGGAGUCGGAUUGGCCCGCGUUGGAUUAGCUAGUUGGUGGGGUAAAGGCCUACCAAGGCGACGAUCCAUAGCUGGUCUGAGAGGAUGAUCAGCCACAUUGGGACUGAGACACGGCCCAAACUCCUACGGGAGGCAGCAGUGGGGAAUAUUGGACAAUGGGCGCAAGCCUGAUCCAGCCAUGCCGCGUGUGUGAUGAAGGCCUUAGGGUUGUAAAGCACUUUCACCGGAGAAGAUAAUGACGGUAUCCGGAGAAGAAGCCCCGGCUAACUUCGUGCCAGCAG